rnacentral:rRNA from 1 species
AUUGAACGCUGGCGGCAGGCCUAACACAUGCAAGUCGAGCGAGCGGCGGACGGGUGAGUAAUGUAUGGGGACUGCCCGAUAGAGGGGGAUAACUACUGGAAACGGUAGCUAAUACCGCAUACUAUCGGGUAACUCAUAUGGGAUUAGCUAGUAGGGGAGGUAAGGGCUCACCUGGGCGACGAGCCCUAGCGGGUCUGAGAGGAUGAUCAGCCACACUGGGACUGAGACAAGGCCCAGACUCCUACGGAGGCAGCAGUGGGGAAUAUGGGACAAUGGGCGCAAGCCGGAUGAAGCCAUGCCGCGGGUAUGAAGAAGGCCCUAGGGUUGUAAAGUAUGUUCAGUCGGGAGGCGUUACCGACAGAAGAAGCACCGGCUAACUCCGUGCCAGCAGCCGCGGUAAUUC